rnacentral:rRNA from 1 species
CCUACGGGGUGCAGCAGUCGAGAAUCAUUCACAAUGGGGGAAACCCUGAUGGUGCGACGCCGCGUGGGGGAAUGAAGGUCUUCGGAUUGUAAACUCCUGUCAUGUGGGAGCAAAUUAAAAAGAUAGUACCACAAGAGGAAGAUACGGCUGACUCCGCGUCAGCAGCCGCGGGAAUACAGAGGUCGAAAGCGUGGUGCGGAAUGACUGGGGGGAAAGGGUGCGUAGGCUGCUUCGUAAGUCGCGUGUGAAAGGCGCGGGCCCAAACCGCGUACGGCACAUGAUACUGCGAGACUAGAGUAAGGGAGGGGGAAGCGGAAUGCUCGGUGUAGCAGUGAAAUGCGUAGAUAGCGAGAGGAACAC